rnacentral:rRNA from 1 species
AACGAACGCUGGCGGCAGGCUUAACACAUGCAAGUCGAGCGCCCCGCAAGGGGAGCGGCAGACGGGUGAGUAACGCGUGGGAAUCUACCCAUCUCUACGGAAUAACGCAUGGAAACGUGUGCUAAUACCGUAUACGUCCUUCGGGAGACAGAUUUAUCGGAGAUGGAUGAGCCCGCGUUGGAUUAGCUAGUUGGUGGGGUAAAGGCCUACCAAGGCGACGAUCCAUAGCUGGUCUGAGAGGAUGAUCAGCCACACUGGGACUGAGACACGGCCCAGAUGGCGACGGGAGGCAGCAGUGGUGAAGAUUGGACAUUGGGCGCAAGCCUGAUCCAGCCAUGCCACGGGAGUGAUGAAGGCCCUAGGGUUGUAAAGCUGUUUCACCGGUGAAGAUAAUGGCGGUAACCGGAGAAGAAGCCCCGGCUAACUUCGUGCCAGAAGCCGCCGUAAUAC